GCACGUGACGCGCCUAGCACAGGGCCUGGCACAGGAAGUGGCGUUGGGAUCCUGUCCGCAUUUAUCCUCGUCGGAUAGGAAGAUGACGGCGCCCAGCCCUCUGUGCAGGCUUCAGGAUCAGCCCCCAGCCUUGAAGGAGGCUCCGCAAACUGCAUCCUCUCCUUCCUUCUGCCUCGUCUCUCCAAAGCUUCCUGGUCCAGUCUGACUGUCCUAACCAUCCCAUUCUCUCCACCUGUGCCUUCAUUGCCCUGCUCCUGGCCCUAGCUGCGUUCCCCUGCACUCGGGUGAGCUGGUAAAUGUUGAACACCUGGUUCUUGGGGGGCCGAGAGAAGAGCCCUGCCAUGUAUCGUUUGCAGAUUCCUGUGGUGUAAAUAUUCCUACCACGGCCAAUUUCAAGUUACCAAUGGGAGGUCCCUGAACACAGAGUUGGGAAGAGAUGUAUUUGUUUUAAAUAAUCGCAAGGGCAAAAAUAAAGAUAAUAGCAAAAUGUCACAAAAUGAUGCGGAAUUGAUGAGUUUGACUAAUUUACCUCUGUCUUAAAUAUAAUUUAUUUAACAGCUGGCCUGCAAAAAUUCCCGAGUAUUUAACAACCAACUUUCAUAGACUGGCAUGAGCAGGAUCUAGGGCACCACUGCCUUCAUCAAAGUCCCUGUCACCCAGUCUCUCUUCAUUCUGAGUUAUGUUCCUAAAAUACAAACGUGGUUAUGUCUCCACCUAAUUUAAAGCUUUUGUGAAUUCCUUAAUUUGAAAGGUAAAGCCUUUCUUCAGCUGACACCAGGAGACCUCUCCAGUUUCAAUGGAGCCCCCACAUUCACACCAAACUUUUCCUCUUUGCCAAAUAGACCAUAUCUUUACUUGUCUUUAGGACUUUGCUAAGUCUUCCCUCCCCGUCUCUAACCCAGUCCUCCAUCUUCACCAGGUUGUGCCAAUUCAUCCCUUAAACAGGGUUGGCAAACUCCAGCCUGCAGGACAAAUCCAGCCUGUCCAUUGUUUGUGUCUGGCUGAUGAGCUGAGAAUGGUUUUCACAUUUUUAAAUGGUUGAAAAGAAAAUGAGAAUAAUAUUUUGUGACAUGAAAAUUAUAUGAAAUUCAAAUUUCAGAUUCCUUAAAUAAAAUUUUAUUGGUGCACCGCUACACCCAUCAUCUGUUUACAUAUUGUCUACACCUGCCUUUAUACUACAAUGGCAGAGGUGAGUAGUUGCAGUGCAGAGAGUAUGGCUCACAAAGCUUCAAAUAUUUACUCUCUGGCCCUUUCCAGAGAAAAAUGACUGGCCUCUGCUUUAGGGCUCAGUUCAGAGUGGCUUCCACCUUGAAGCCUUCCUGACUUCCCUGGUUGAGUUAAACAUUUCCUCCUCGGUACCUGUGUCACAUCCCUUCAUCACAGUCAUUGCCACCAGUACACAUUUUUUAGCCAUAGGCACCUCUAGGGCAGUUGGUGAGUCUUAGCUAACUUGAUAUCACCUGCACCCAGC
rnacentral:lncRNA from 1 species